ACACCACACCACACCUCGCCACCUCCACCGCUCCGACCAGCAAACGCCGUCGAGCAACCUAUCCCACCGCCGCUCCACCGGCGAACCACUCCCUCCUCUCUCCCCUUUCCCCUGAUCACCUUCACUGUCCAGACAGCACCACCAGCUAAUUAGAAACACGUUGUCCUCUUUGAUGUGUUCCGAAAAUCUCCGGUGAAGACGAACAGGUUUUUGAAGACAGAGGCACUGUGGAGCGGCUGGUUUUUGUCUCUCUUAUAAUUAAUUGCCAUAUCACUGAUCUGGCUGGGAUCCGCAUUUGUGGACUUCGAAAGGUGCCUAACACAUUCCUUUUGAGGUUUUGAAGGUCGAAGGGUUAUUCAGACGGGAAGGACUUUGAUUUGAUCGUUUGAACUCCAUUUAAG